AACGAACGCUGGCGGCAGGCUUAACACAUGCAAGUCGAACGCCCCGCAAGGGGAGUGGCGGACGGGUGAGUAACGCGUGGGAAUCUACCCAGAUCUACGGAACAACAGUUGGAAACGACUGCUAAUACCGUAUACGCCCUACGGGGGAAAGAUUUAUCGGAUUUGGAUGAGCCCGCGUAAGAUUAGCUAGUUGGUGGGGUAAUGGCCUACCAAGGCGACGAUCUUUAGCUGGUCUGAGAGGAUGAUCAGCCACACUGGGACUGAGACACGGCCCAGACUCCUACGGGAGGCGGCAGUGGGGAAUAUUGGACAAUGGGCGCAAGCCUGAUCCAGCCAUGCCGCGUGAGUGAUGAAGGCCUUAGGGUUGUAAAGCUCUUUCAGUAGGGAAGAUAAUGACGGUACCUACAGAAGAAGCCCCGGCUAACUUCGUGCCAGCCGCCGCCGUAAUAC
rnacentral:rRNA from 1 species